rnacentral:rRNA from 1 species
AUUGAACGCUGGCGGCAGGCCUAACACAUGCAAGUCGAACGGUAACAGGAAACAGCUUGCUGUUUCGCUGACGAGUGGCGGACGGGUGAGUAAUGUCUGGGAAACUGCCUGAUGGAGGGGGAUAACUACUGGAAACGGUAGCUAAUACCGCAUAACGUCGCAAGACCAAAGAGGGGGACCUUCGGGCCUCUUGCCCUCGGAUGUGCCCAGAUGGGAUUAGCUAGUAGGUGGGGUAACGGCUCACCUAGGCGACGAUCCCUAGCUGGUCUGAGAGGAUGACCAGCCACACUGGAACUGAGACGCGGUCCAGACUCCUACGGGAGGCAGCAGUGGGGAAUAUUGCACAAUGGGCGCAAGCCUGAUGCAGCCAUGUCGCGUGUAUGAAGAAGGCCCUCGGGUUGUAAAGUACUUUCAGCGGGGAGGAAGGGAGUAAAGUUAAUACCUUUGCUCAUUGACGUUACCCGCAGAAGAAGCACCGGCUAACUCCGUGCCAGCAGCCGCCGUAA